rnacentral:lncRNA from 1 species
GGUCCACUCACGCAUUGAGCGACCAUGCUGCUCGCCCAAGUAUGGCUCACCUAAGCUCCAGAGGCGUCUGUGUCCAAGCUGGACAGCACCAAGGACCGCAGCCUGUGGAACCUGCACCAGGGCAAGCAGAACGGCUCCGCUGGGCCCGUUCCACCACUACACGGGACAGCCCUGUGCUGCGGAACAUCAAUGACGGGCUGUCCAGCCUCUUCAGCGUGGUGGAGCAUUCAGGGAGCACAGAGUCUGUCUGGAACUCCCCGGCAUGUCUGAGGCCCGGGCCAAGCCCGGAGCCUCCCAAAUACGGCCUUGUGCAGGAGUUCUUUUCAUAAUGUGUGUGGCCGUGCACCAAGUCCCACCUUGGCAGCAGGGGAGGAGAGCUCUAAGAAGCCAGAGCCCCUCUCCCCAGCCAGCUACCAUCAGCCAGAGGGCAUGGCCAGGAUCCUGAACAAGAAAACAGCCAAGGCAGGUGGUGGUGAGGAGGCCAGAGCCACCAUGCUCCCUCAGGUGGGGAAGGAUGGUGUCCCACGGGAUGGAGACGGAGCCUCAGUCCUUCCCAAUGAGCUUUUUUAGGGGAAGAGGAUACUGAGAAUUGAACCCAUGGCCUUCACACCGAGCCACAUCCCCAAUCCUUUUUUAUUUUGAGACAGGCUCUUCCUUAGUUAUCCAGUUUGGGCUCACACUUACAGUCCUCCUGCCUCAGCCUCCCAGAGUGUCAGGAUUACAGGCAUGUGCCAGCAUGCCCUGCUCUGGCUCCUCUUCUGCUUAGCUUGUUCGCACCAGCAGAUGGGCCAGCCCAUGGCCAGGUUUUCCUCUUCUAGAUCCCAGGCUUAUUUUAUUGUAGCACCAUCCCUCAGCCUUCCCACAGCAUCCUCCCCAGCACUGCUCCUUCCUGUGGGUUUUCCUACAACCUCAGCAACACACUCCUCCCUCCCACGGUCACAUUCAGGGAAGUACCCCUGGCUGCCCUGUGUAUUUAUUUUGUGUUUUCUCACACUAGAGUGGGCCCUUUCCCCGAUGUAUCAUGCAGCACAGCCUUGCCAGCCCUUCUCAUUGGGUUCACACUCCCCUAGCACCUCCCAGUGCAGAAAGACAUCCCCCAGGCCCACCCUCCAAGCCAUACUGUCUUUCUGUCCACAGCCUCCAAGUAGCAACCCCAGCACCUUCCACUGAGGAGAGUGUGGUGGGCAUGAACUUGGAUUCCCUCUUCCAGCCUCCUCUGCCCUCCCCAGUGCUACAUGGCCUUAGUUGUAAAGCAGAUGCAGCCCGACUUGGGUUCUUCUCUCUGUGGCCAUCUGUCCCACUAUCUGAGCAACUCUCUGUCCGCUCUGGGCCACCUUACCUCCCAACCUAACAAAACUUGCAGUUUGCAGAAUCCCCAGACCCAACAUCCACGGGACUGAAGACAAUUCUGGGCCUGAAUUCCUCCUCAGGUCUCCACCACUUGCCCUGCGCACUCCAACCUUACCCUCCAGAGACCCUCCUUGUCCCCUCAUCUAUCCCAUUGGCCCUGCUCCCCUCCCUUUUCACCUAUCACCAGGUCUUUGGACACCAGACCCCAGGGAUUUCUUCAACAUCCUGGAUGGACUAGGCAGUCAGGGACAGGCUGCCUCCUUUGAAGCUCCAUUCUGAAACCACCCAAGCCACUCUCAUGAAGAGGGCCCUCAACUAGCAGUCUGCCCCUAUUCUUGGCUGAUCUCAUCUCUGGCUCUCCCAACUUUAUGGUCCUCUGAGGAGCACUAGGAUGACCCUAUGGGCCCCAGAGGACCCCUCAGGUCCUGUAGCCCCAUCCUUUCUCUGCUUGGCCCUGGUAUCCUGGUUCCUCUCUCAGCUGUGCCAGUGAUCUCUGUGCCUUAGUUUACUUCUCUGCACAGGGGGGCGCUCACCACAAGACCAUUCCCGUUAGCUUUUUAGAUCCUUUGGUGCCUAUAAUGCUGGCUCUUGCCAGCAUGGCUCUGGCUAGGGGUACCAGGUUGCUGAGGAUGAGGUGACUAGGGACACCAUUCCAGACCAGUAGUUUUCAGAUUGUGUCCCAGUAGCAGAAUGAGAAUCUGACAGAAGUGCAGAUUAUCAGCCCUGCCCAAUAUCCACUGGAUUAGAACUUCUGGAGCAGGGCCUACCAAGUUAGGGUUUGACAGAGCCUUCCAAGUCAUUCUAAUAUACACAGGUUUGCCAACUGGACUCCUCCCAGUAUUGCCUUGGGAGGGGCUGGGGUUGGCCCAAGCCAAGAAUAAUGGAAAGCAUUUCAUCUGGACUUCUGAGAUUGGAGAAGCCCCCAAACAAAACCAACCCUCUGUGUCUUCUUUCUAAAAGCCAGAGAGGAUGCAGUUUUCCUCUUUUCUGCUCCUGGCUGGGUUCCAGCUCUAUUCACCUCUCCCACCUGUCUGGAUUUUCCAGACUGCUGCGUGGGUAUUAGGAGUAGGCAAGGGUGGGAGCCCUGGGGAGGCAGGUGGCAGAGGAGACUGUUUAUCCUUUGGGAACAUCAUAGGCCAGAUGGCUUCUCUUGAAAUGGAAAGAAAGCCAACUACACAAGAAGAGAAUCCUAAAUCUCCUUGUGCUCCCUUUCCUUUUCCUGUCUCUCCUCUUCCUCCCUUCCCCACCCCACAGAGAACUUGUAGACAGUGCCAAAAAACCAGCUCUGGCCCCCAGCCCCUUGGGAAGAGAGCCAGAAGUUGCCCUUCCUCAUCCUGCUCCCCCCAUCCCCUGCCAGUACUGUGAAGCCCCCUUCCUGCUCAGCCUGAUUUCCUGGUGAGGGUCCUGUAGUCAUGGGUCCCGGGGGAGCCCCAGGGAAAGGCCCUCGGGAGGGAAGGGACCAAGGGCAUCCUUGGGCCAACUGUCCUCCUCUUCCUUACACUGUUUGCUCCUCCUCACUUCUGUCUUCAAAAGGCUCCUUCCCAGGAUGGAUUGGGUGCUAGGACUACUGCAGUCCAAUCCACCAGCUCUCCCUGCCC